AAGCAUAUCAAUAAGCGGGAGGAAAAGAAACCAACAGGGAUUGCCCUAGUAACGGCGAGUGAAGCGGCAACAGCUCAAAUUUGAAAUCUGGCUCUAUUUUGGAGUCCGAGUUGUAAUUUGUAGAGGGCGCUUUGGCGUCGGCAGCGGUCUAAGUUCCUUGGAACAGGACGUCACAGAGGGUGAGAAUCCCGUACGUGGUCGCGUGCCUUCGCCGUGUAAAGCCCCUUCGACGAGUCGAGUUGUUUGGGAAUGCAGCUCUAAAUGGGAGGUAAAUUUCUUCUAAAGCUAAAUACUGGCCAGAGACCGAUAGCGCACAAGUAGAGUGAUCGAAAGAUGAAAAGCACUUUGGAAAGAGAGUCAAAAAGCACGUGAAAUUGUUGAAAGGGAAGCGCUUGCAGCCAGACUUGCCUGCGGUUGCUCAUCCGGGCUCUUGCCCGGUG
rnacentral:rRNA from 1 species